rnacentral:lncRNA from 1 species
AAUUAAAUGUAUCUGCAAUAACUGUAAUACUGGUGUAGUAAUAACGUACGUGACUUUCAAAUUAUUAUAUGAUUGCCACACUAUAAUGCCAUCACACUAGCUAGACAAGAAAAGAUUGAGAAAAGGUAUUAUUGUUUGUAUCAACUAGAUCUUCCAUACACUUCAAGCAAAAGUUAAACAAGAAGAUUUUCAAGUCAAAAUCCGAUCAUAAUGUGCAAAAUUUCAAAUAUCUACAUACAAAAAGUUAUAAAG